rnacentral:rRNA from 1 species
GAUGAACGCUGGCGGCGUGCUUAACACAUGCAAGUCGAACGGUGAAGGCGGAGCUUGCUCUGCUGGAUCAGUGGCGAACGGGUGAGUAACACGUGAGCAAUCUGCCCCUGACUCUGGGAUAAGCGCUGGAAACGGCGUCUAAUACUGGAUACGAGCUGCGAAGGCAUCUUCAGCAGCUGGAAAGAAUUUCGGUCAGGGAUGAGCUCGCGGCCUAUCAGCUUGUUGGUGAGGUAAUGGCUCACCAAGGCGUCGACGGGUAGCCGGCCUGGGAGGGUGACCGGCCACACUGGGACUGAGACACGGCCCAGACUCCUACGGGAGGCAGCAGUGGGGAAUAUUGCACAAUGGGCGAAAGCCUGAUGCAGCAACGCCGCGUGAGGGACGACGGCCUUCGGGUUGUAAACCUCUUUUAGCAGGGAAGAAGCGAAAGUGACGGUACCCGCAGAAAAAGCGCCGGCUAACUACGUG